AGCCGGCUGCUGGUGCAGGAAAAGUGCCCACUGCCUUUCUCGAGGUCCCUUGUCUUCUGGGACGCCUCGAACUGAGGAAGCCAAAAAGCCAUGGCUGCACCGUCUUACUUGCGACCUGCUGGAGGUGACUUCGGGUGCUGAACCCAAAGCUCCCUCAGCUAAGGAAAGGAGAUGGCACCUCGUCCCCAUCUGCAUGGGGCUCACCCAAGGCAUCUGCAGUGACCCACGGCCUACCCUGAGCUGCUGAGGAGAACAGGACAUGGCUACCUGAGAUUGAACCAUGGAUAUCACCCUUUCCGUGCUGCUGGGGACAAGGAUGGAGAGGGAUGUAUAUGACAGUGACACCUGCAUCCCCAGGAGAGCCUGGAGGCCCACAGAGGGCAGGAUUACAUCAGGGCUGGCAUCUCUGGGAUGCUUCCUGGAAGCAUGCCAGCCAAGCGGAGCGACCUGUCCUGUGGAGGGAGCCCUUCCUCUCUGGAGACCGUGGCUGCCCCGAGCUCAGGAGGGACCCGCAGCGCGGCGAGGGGAGAUGGACCCUGUGAGUUUGGCACUCCCUGCUGUGUCUGUCCCCAUGCCCGUGAGGCUGGGAUCCCUGUUGGCAGAAAACCAGCCUCUCGUCCCAGCGGCCGUCCCCCCGGAGUCCUUUGUCCCUCGGCGGUGCCGUGUCCCCCUCCCCUGGAGCAUGUCCCCGCGCCCCACGCAGCCCCCGGGGCAGGGCCAGGCUGACCCCCCCGGGGGACACGGCCACAGCAGCCCCCCCCCGGGAGCCUGAAAGGGUCGCCUGUUCCCAGGCUGGGCGGGCAUUCCUCAGGGGGUUAGUGGGAUGCCUGGGCACCAGCUCUUGAGCACGGGGGAGAGAUUACACUGGCAAAAAGCCUGUCAGGAGGGUGUGGGGGUAGAUGCCAGCUUCCUUGCGGUGCUGUGAGCGCCCCAACACAGGGGCAGGGGAGGGGGGAGUUUGUGGCUGUGUGGGGUUCCCAGCACUACCCGGCUGUGUCUCCCCAGGCUCGGGCUCGGGCAGCGGAGGGGGACGGCGGUCCCAAAGCGCUGGCGUUCUUCCAGCACCCGGUCAGGUACGUGCCCGGGCACCAGGGCUCCGGGAGGGCGCGGA
rnacentral:lncRNA from 1 species